UACGUAGGGUGCGAGCGCUGUCCGGAAUUAUUGGGCGUAAAGGGCUCGUAGGCGGUUUGUCGCGUCGGGAGUGAAAACCCAGGGCUUAACUCUGGGCUUGCUUUCGAUACGGGCAGACUAGAGGUAUGCAGGGGAGAACGGAAUUCCUGGUGUAGCGGUGAAAUGCGCAGAUAUCAGGAGGAACACCGGUGGCGAAGGCGGUUCUCUGGGCAUUACCUGACGCUGAGGAGCGAAAGUGUGGGGAGCGAACAGG
rnacentral:rRNA from 1 species